rnacentral:rRNA from 1 species
AUUGAACGCUGGCGGCAGGCCUAACACAUGCAAGUCGAGCGGAGCGGCGGACGGGUGGGUAAUGCCUAGGUAUCUGCCUGGUAGUUGGGGAUGACGUCCGGCAACGGGCGCUAAUACCGCCUACUUUCAGUUGAGCCUAGGUGGGAUUAGCUAGUUGGUGGGGUAAAGGCCUACCAAGCCGACGAUCCCUAACUGGUCUGAGAGGAUGAUCAGUCACACUGGAACUGAGACACGGUCCAGACUCCUACGGGAGGCAGCAGUGGGGAAUAUUGGACAAUGGGCGAAAGCCUGAUCCAGCCAUGCCGCGUGUGUGAAGAAGGUCUUCGGAUUGUAAAGCACUUUAAGUUGGGAGGCGUUACCAACAGAAGAAGCACCGGCUAACUCCGUGCCAGCAGCCGCGGUAAUAC